AUGGCAAAGUCAAAAAAGAGUAAGGAAAAUAAUAUAGUAGGGAGUGGUGUUACUCGUCGGGUGAAACAGAAAAGGAUUUGUCGUCGAGAUUCUGCUGGUACUUAUAGUGCAGUAGAAGAUCCAAGUCCACCGGCUAGAUCUACAAACACAGUAUCACCUGCUCCACCAGCUGCAGCAUCCGCUUCAAUUGUACCAGCAUCUCAACGAGUUACUCGUUCGUUUGCUUCGGAACUGGCCAGUUCCCAAGCUACCUUCACACCUAACACUACUUCCGAAGCACUGCUGACACAACAGGACUUGGCAAGAUCAGAUGAACCUCAUGAGCAUCAACACCAAGAUGACAUCAGGGAUAAUGCUUGA
rnacentral:rRNA from 1 species